UACGUAGGGUGCAAGCGUUGUCCGGAAUUAUUGGGCGUAAAGAGCUCGUAGGCGGUCUGUCGCGUCUGCUGUGAAAACUCAGGGCUUAACCCUGAGCUUGCAGUGGGUACGGGCAGACUAGAGUGCGGUAGGGGAGACUGGAAUUCCUGGUGUAGCGGUGAAAUGCGCAGAUAUCAGGAGGGAACACCGGUGGCGAAAGGCGGGUCUCUGGGCCGUAACUGACGCUGGAGG
rnacentral:rRNA from 1 species